AGAGCAGGUGGAAUUGAAGGAAAUUGAAGGCCGUCUCGACUCUUAGAGGAGACAAUGAGUCCAAUUGGAGGAAGCUAUCUAUCUUAUUAGCUGUAUUGCAGUCCAAAUAAACUGCUCCACAAAAGAGGAAUGGUUUGAAGACUGUCCUGUUGGUGACUGUGCUAGCUGUGAGAGCUACGUUAGUUUGCCAACCAGCCUUGCAAGUAGUACAGUAACGACAUCAUAAAGCCUCUAGAGCCGAAUAUUUCAUGAAGACAUGGAGAGGCUGAGAACAGGCAGGCAGCAGUAGAGUAAGGAUACAGUCGACAUCUUUGGCCAAAUUCAAGAAAACUGAAUUCUGUGGAAAAUCAUGGUUAAUUGUCUGUUUUUAGCUCAUUUUAUCCUUUGUAGUGUUAUCUGUUCUCUGUCUGACUGAGUUCAUAUUGUCUGAAACUUUUGAUGCUACAGUUUGUGGCCAGGCCUUCAACCACAGUGGGACUUACCUUGUUAAAUAAAGGUUCAGUUCAGGGCGGGAUUAGCUCCUCCAGAAGAGUCCUGAGCUCACCUGGGAGCAACAAAAUUUCAAGUUUGAAGGGGUCUUGAAAAAUGUAUAAAUAAGCAUUGACAUGUCUAAUACUGCAAUGACUAAAAAUACUAAGACAUUCAUAAUCUAGAACAUAGUUGAUGGACGUGUUCAGGGUUUUUAUAUGUAUCAUGGCUCAUGGGCUUCUGUUUUUUGCACCUAUGUGUAAUUAUUAUGUGUGUAUUCGGUGUCAGAUCAACAGUUGUCAACGUCUGGGCUGCACCUCCUGACCGAGCAACAAGCUGCCGUAUUUGACGAGUCAGGAAUGAGAACGUGUUGGACCGUGCAGUCGGUUCAGCGGCCUCGCUCAUCGUUUCUGCCGUGCAUUAAAUCGGAGUAUCUCCUCUGUCUAUCAGACUUAAUUGCCAUUCCUGAUCACACACACCUGUGUGAAGCAUUUUCUCUUUUAUAAAAACAAGAUUUCAAAAGAUAACGGAUGUAAAAAACACCUUCUCACCGCUAUUUUUCCAGACUUUUUGGAAUAUGUCUCACUGAGUGACUUCCCUCAUUGGAGCAUUGGAUUUUAAUUUGAACUGUCCUUCAUUACUUAAAACUAAAGGCCACAGUGUUUUAUUAUUGCAUCAUCUGUUUGUUGGAGUAUUAUAAAACUCAGAAAAUGUCACAUUAACUGUGGUUGGAAGCUCUAUUGAGAAAUAUUGGUCAGCAUGUGCGUUGGCACCUGUCCUGGUGAAGUCUGUUCAGAACAGAGCCAACACACUCGAAAUUUGUAUUUUCACGCACUGAAACCAACAGUUUAAGCGCUGUGGUAUCACACUUUGCCCAAGUUUUAAUGACUCAAACAAACUGCAUGCCUUCCUCCAAAACUCUGCCAUCUUUGCUGUAUUUAAAAAGUGAUUUUGGUUAUAUCUUGUUGUUGGAAAAGGCAGAAAUAUGUGGAAAAUACAUUACAGAUUGCAGCUUCAACUGUGGGUUUAAUCUGUGCAGCAAAAACACAGGACAUGUAUUGGUACCACCAAGGAAGAUUUGACUUUCGCAAGCUGAACAUUUUGGCAGUCUCCUCUUCACCAGAGAGUCACACAUUCUGGGCUCGCUGUGAGCUAACGGAGACUUUAAAAAGUUAAUUGUUUAGUGAUAAUUUUAUUUGAUUACGUAAUUUGUUUUCUAAGUUCACGAGUGCAGAACCGUUGGAUUUUGUGGAUCAUGUUUUGCACCCAGAGAACAACUACACGAUGCCUGCUAGAGUCUGUGGGGCAAGUUGGUGCAAACACACUCUCACACAAACAGUUACCCAACUAACCGGGUGUUACUGGAUGUACUGUAUGGCGGUGGGUCAGACCAGGACAGUGCUCCAUCUGAGGAGACGCUUACACGGAUCUGAAUAAAAGUCAUGCAACAAG